rnacentral:rRNA from 1 species
UACGAAGGGUGCAAGCGUUACUCGGAAUUACUGGGCGUAAAGCGUGCGUAGGUGGGCAGGUAAGUCCGUGGUGAAAUCUCUGAGCUUAACUCAGAAACUGCCGUGGAUACUAUUUGUCUUGAAUAUUGUGGAGGUGAGCGGAAUAUGUCAUGUAGCGGUGAAAUGCUUAGAUAUGACAUAGAACACCAAUUGCGAAGGCAGCUCACUACACAAUUAUUGACGCUGAGGCACGAAAGCGUGGGGAUCAAACAGG